GUUCUUGUUAAUGCAAUAAAAAGAGAAAAGCGCGAGAGACACGAGACAAGAGCUGAAACUUUCACCAGUUGAGGGUGAAAGUGAUCAUGAAUGAAGAGCAAAUGUGAAAUAUAUGCCGCAUAUUUCCAGUCUGCAGAUCUGGUCCUGUGGGCGUCAGUAUCACACAGUGAUCACAGUUCACACCUGCAGUGAAGCCCCUCCCACAACAAUUCACCAAUAAAUACUGGGAAUAUUCCCAU